rnacentral:ncRNA from 1 species
UAGGGUAGAGGCGCAAUUGACAUCAGUAGUUUUGUACAAUGUAAGCAAGCAGUAGAAAACGAAAGGGGAUAUUGCCGAAAGUAUAUAAAUUUUGCUUGAUUUAUAUUCUUGGAAUAUCUGUUAAUAGCAGGUGUUUUGUCAUUAUUUGUGUAAUGGAGAGCUA